rnacentral:rRNA from 1 species
AUUGAACGCUGGCGGCAGGCUUAACACAUGCAAGUCGAGCGGUAGCACAGGGGAGCUUGCUCCCUGGGUGACGAGCGGCGGACGGGUGAGUAAUGUCUGGGAAACUGCCUGAUGGAGGGGGAUAACUACUGGAAACGGUAGCUAAUACCGCAUAACGUCGCAAGACCAAAGAGGGGGACCUUCGGGCCUCUUGCCAUCAGAUGUGCCCAGAUGGGAUUAGCUAGUAGGUGGGGUAAUGGCUCACCUAGGCGACGAUCCCUAGCUGGUCUGAGAGGAUGACCAGCCACACUGGAACUGAGACACGGUCCAGACUCCUACGGGAGGCAGCAGUGGGGAAUAUUGCACAAUGGGCGCAAGCCUGAUGCAGCCAUGCCGCGUGUGUGAAGAAGGCCUUCGGGUUGUAAAGCACUUUCAGCGAGGAGGAAGGUGGUGAGCUUAAUACGUUCAUCAAUUGACGUUACUUGCAGAAGAAGCACCGGCUAACUCCGUG